UGGAGCGCGCAUGCGCUGUGGUGCGGCGCUGUGGUGUGGCGCGGUAGCGCGCCAGGCUGGCCUCCGUGGUGAAGGAGCGGAGAAGUUCGGGCAACAGAUGGUUUCCUGUCUGAGGAUCACAGCAUUCCCGGGCAUCAGCCCUGAACACACCUCUGCCUCAGCAUUUCCAGCGGUGGGUGAGGAGGACCACAGAUCGUUCAGCCUGGCAAGCCACACCGGUCUUAGUUCUGAGGGAAGGAAUGCUUCCACCAGGUCACACAACAAUGACUUCAUUGAACUGGACGACAAGACAAACACCUAGUCAUUGCAGGCUUUGCAUGCCUCUGAGUGAACAGGUGAAAGCCAGAGGAUGCAGCAUCAGCCCUUCCUGCGCUUUGUAGCAGAGUCACAUCAGUCACAUAGACCUGCCUAGUGCUCCGCCCCGGAAAUAUUCUUCAACUCAACAAAGACC